rnacentral:ncRNA from 1 species
AAAUUACGAAUUAAUAUUAAAUACCUGUUUUGGUAUUUAUUAAUGGUAGUGGAAUGUUCUGUUUUUUUAAAGAAAAGUUUUAAAACUUUUUCAUGAAUUCAGAAGUACGAAUGUCGAUGUGAGUAGCGCAAAAAUACAUGAGAAAUGUAUUCACCGUAAAUCUAAGGUUUUCUGGUGAUAGGAUUAUCCAAUCAGAGUAAGACGGUCCCUAAAAAGUAAGCAUCUGCUAGAUCUUUGAUGGGUAAAUAGUUAAUAACUUCCAUAUUAGUUUGUUUGACAGUAGCUGUGCGUUGGUUCCAAGAACCAAUGCUUAUAAUCUACUCAGGAAAAAGACAACUAAUGUAAAAUUGGUAUUAUUUUGCUUUUCUAAUAGUGUAUUCCAAUUAUUAAAAGACCGUACUAAAACUGACACAGGUAGAUUAGUAGAGUAUACUAAGGUGAAUAGGAGAAUACUGUUGAAGGAACUCGGCAAAAUGACUCUGUAACUUCGGGAGAAGGAGUCUUAUUUUUUUGGUAACAAAUUAGUAAGGUCACAAAACAGGGGGGAGCGACUGUUUAUCAAAAACACAAGAUUCUGCAAAAUUUAAUUAUGAAGUAUAGAAUCUGACACCUGCCCAGUGCUGUAAGAAUUAAUGGGUUGGAAGCUGACGAGUUAAUCGUUGCUAUCUGACUCUGAACCUCUCAGUAAACGGCGGCU